rnacentral:rRNA from 1 species
GAUGAACGCUAGCGGCAGGCCUAAUACAUGCAAGUCGAGGGGCAGCGGGUGUAGCAAUACAUGCCGGCGACCGGCGCACGGGUGCGUAACGCGUAUGCAACUUACCUCUAACAGGGGGAAUAGCCCCGAGAAAUCGGGAUUAAUACCUCAUAACAUUUAUCAUUCGCAUGUUUGAUAAAUUAAAGCUCCGGCGGUUAGAGAUGGGCAUGCGUGACAUUAGCUAGUUGGUGAGGUAACGGCUCACCAAGGCUGCGAUGUCUAGGGGUUCUGAGAGGACAUUCCCCCACACUGGUACUGAGACACGGACCAGACUCCUACGGGAGGCAGCAGUAAGGAAUAUUGGGCAAUGGGACGCAAGUCUGACCCAGCCAUGCCGCGUGC